rnacentral:lncRNA from 1 species
UAUAAGAUAUGAUAAUAGAUAUAUACAAGAUAAAUACAAGAUAAAGACAAGAAUGAAAUUAACGAUAGUUUCAAAUAACACAAUCAAAAUAAUGUCGUAUUAACACACAAUCAAGGUUUCAUCAAUUCCGGAUAGAGGUAGAGGUUAGUUACACAUGCUAAUAAACUUAAAAACAUAGGAAUUGAGAUAAUACAUGAACCUGGAGUUCGAAGAUUCAAGAACCAUCCCCGUCGUAUAAUCCAGCAAUUUCGGCGAUGCCGAACAGAAAAUGCUGGUGAAUUUCUUCACCUUCGGGGCUCCGAAUUGCGUGUGGUUUGAAGUGAAAUGUUCCGAAGUUGAAGGAGGAAGUCUUGGGGCAGAGUAACAAGGCUUGGAGGUCUGAUAUGGUGUGUGUUGUGGUGUGUUUUCGAAGAGGAGUUGAGUUUCCCUUAUACGGGCUCUAAAGUGACGUAUUAAGGCCUCUACCAUGGGCAUACCUACUCCAUCAGCUUUAUGCAAUCUGUAUCUGUUCAGGAGUGAUUGUGGACAGAUUUAUAUGUGCUGGAAGUCCUCCUCCAUGGCUGGUUUUCUUUCAGAGAUCGGUUCAGCGGGAGAUCGUAAAACGACCGUAACUUCUUCAUCUGGAAUCUGAUUUAGCUCCGGUUUGUAUUGCUGGAUUGGUAAUUCAUCCUUUUACAAUUGUGUGACCUGAAAUUUCAUUAAAUCACUAGAAAAAACAUAAAAUAGGAAUGAAGGUCCAAGUGUUGAAUUUACGUAGUUAAUUGCAAUAUAACCAAUUUUCGUCGAAACUUUCAUUUUCAAUUGAUAUUAUGACAUGAAGUUUAGGAUAUUUAGUUUUAAACUUGAUGGUAUAUUUAAUGUGAUUAAAGAAAGCACGGUCCGUGCAAUGGUGAAUGAUGUGUGGUUGCAGGCUUUUCCGAAAGUGGUAUUUCUAAUUUAAUUGCUCUAGAUUCAUAUCACUCAACGAUCUUGUCAGAUACUAGGCCUCAGAUUUUGAGAAGACGAAGGAGGAUGUUUCGGUUUGAGACUAAUUAGUUUGAAGAAAAAUUCCUGAAACUGUUGGUGGAAGGAACUUGGAAGGACCUUGAUGGUCUGGAUUUAAAGGAUCGCCUGGAAGUUCGUGAAAAAGAAAUGGUGCAAUGGGGUAAGGAAAUCUCAUCCCAAUUUCAUGCUAAGAAGCGGGACCUUGAUAAGAAGAUGGAGGAGUUGAGGGAGAGAUCGGAUGAGGAGACCGGCAUGGAAAUGACAAAGUGUAGGAAAGAGAAGUUGAUUCUACUACAACAGGAAGAUGCAUAUUGGAAGCAAAGAGCGAAACAAUAUUGAUUAUAGUUUGACGAUCUUAACAAAAAAUUUUGUCAUGCAGUUGCUAAUGGCAUGGGGAAGAGAAAAACUAUAAUAGGAUUGAAGGUGAUGGAUGGAACAUGACAGGAUGAAUAUUAGGAUAUUCCUGUAAUGGUUAAACAAUAUUUUGAGGGUAUCUUCUAAGGUGACGCAGGAGGUUGGCAAGAAGUAUUAGGGUGUGUACCGUAGAGAGUAACUAAUGACGAUAAUUAAUUAUCUUAGCCCCUUUUACGGAUGAGGAAAUCAAAAGUGUUAUGUUUUCGAUGAACCCAGAUAAAGCCCCCAGGCUAGAUGGUUUUAAUCGAGGUUUCUAUCAGAAAUUUUGACAUAUACUUGGAGGAGAAAUCUUGGCAAAUUGUAGGGCAUGGCUGGAGAGCGAGACGUUACCAAGUUGUGUUCAGGACAUGACCAUUAUCCUGCUUUUGAAGGGCGACAUACCACAUACGAUGAAUGAUUGGUGUAUGAUUUCUCUUAGUAAUGUUCCAUAUCGUUUGGUGGCAAAGGUUUUAGCAAAUCGGAUGCGCGAUCUAAUGCCUAAGGUGGUUUCGGAGGAGCAAUCUCCCUUUGUAUAUGGUAGAUCGAUUGUUGAUAAUAUUUUAAUCGCUUUUGAGACUUUGCAUGGUAUGAAAUUGAGAUACAAGGGUAAAGCAUAUUGAAAGCAUUUGAUCGAGUUAGCUGGGAAUAUCUUGAGGUAGUCUUAUGAAAGCUGGAGAGAUGGAUGCACAUGUUGAUGAUGUGUGGUCUUUCUGUGGUAUACCAUGUGUAACAAAGAGCUGGUGGGACCUAUUCUAGCGGAAUGAGGUUUAAGACAAGGCUGCCCUUUAUCGCCUUUCUUAUUUAUAUUGUGUGUAGAGGGGUUGUCAACACUUUCAUGUUGAGAGAAGGCGAUGGACUGAAUACAUAGCAACCGAGUGUGUAGGAGAGCACCGGCGGUCUCGUAAAUUUGUUUUGCUGAUGGAAGUUUCGGUUUUUGUAGAGCGGAUAUUGAUGAGGUCAGACGCAUGAAGCAUGCUUUUGAAAUAUAUGAACGAGUGUUAGGGCAGUCAAAUAAUUACGAUAAAUCAGGUGUCUUCUUCAGCUCUAAUACUCAUACGUCGCUUCGGGAUGGUGUGCGAAAUAUUUUGGAAAUUCAUGCCACGCUUGAUACUGAAAGGUAUUUGGGAAUGCCAUCUUUGGUGGGACGAAAUAAAGAAAUGAUCUUUGGUUAUUUGAAGGAGCGGGUUUGGAAGAUGCUGCAAGGAUAGCAAAGAAAACCAAUUUAUAAAGGUGGUAAAGAAAUUCUGAUUAAAGCUUGUGCUCAAUCUUAACCAUUUUAUUGUAUGAAUGUGUUUCUAUUACCGGUUAUGUUUACUGGAGGAGAUUGAAAAGAUGAUCAAUAGCCUCUGCUGGGGCACGAAAGGAGCUUGAGGUGGGGGUAUCUCUUGGAUGCGUUGGGAAAUAUUAUGUGUUGGAAGGAGUUUAGAGGGAUAGGGCUUAAGGAUCUAUAUGGUUUUAAUCUGGCGAUGCUCGAUAAACAAGGCUGACAGUUAUUCACAAAGCCUAUGUCGUUGGUAGGAAGGAUUCUCAAAGCUAAAUACUUUCCCAAUGGGGAUUUUUUGUUAGCUCAUGUUGGGUAAAACCUGAGUUUCACAUGGUGUAGUAUUGUGGAAGCUAAGGUGGCCGUUUUACAAGGUUAUUGGUGGAAAGUUGAUGACGGUUUGCGGAUCCGAGUGUGGAAGUAUCCUUGGAUUCGACGGGAUGGAGAUAUGAAGGUCAAGUCGGUCUUGUUGAUUGAUGUCUGACCUGCGUGUUAGUAUGUUGAUCAUGCCAGAUGGAGAAGGCUAGGAUGAGGGGCAAGUGAGGAAUUUUUUACAUCCCACAUACGCAGAUGAUAUCCUGGCGAUGUCGAUGGUAGGUGGAGGUGAAGACAAGGCCAUUUGGCACUAGAAUAAGACUGGUUAAAUACAGUGUCCGCUCUGCCUAUAGGCUGCUUCUGGACAGAUGUGUUAGUAUGGACGACUUAGAAGUCAACAGGCCGUGGAAAUCAUCGUGGGGUUUAAAAAUCCCACCAAAAUUGAAGCUUUUCGUUUGGCGGGCGGUACGAGGAGUGAUGCGAAUAAGAGACAACUUGCAAAAAUGAUAUGUUGAUGUUCCAUGGCAAUGCGGUACGUGUGCUUCUUCUAUUGAAAAUACAUGGCACUUAUUAUUGAAAAGUUAUUUUGCUUGGGCUUGUUCGAAAGAGGCGAGAGUGGUAGACUUAGUAAGUCAAUUGUGUGACCGUUGUGAAGGGUUUGAAGACUGGGUUGGUGUGGUUGUGGUUGAGUUGAAAGAAAAGUAAUGCCAUCUUAUCAUCUCUUUCACAUGGGCUUUAUGGCGAGAGUGGAAUGAGCGUGUUUGGAAAUCCACUUCGCAAGAGGCAGGUAGAGUGGUGAUGCUUGCGGUUGAAGCAGUACAUGCUUAGGAGAUGGCGCAAAGACCCAGCAAUGGAGUUGUUCGCGUGGAACUGACGACUGUAUGUCGGAAAUGACAUCCACUACCUAACCUAUAUCUGAAAUGCAAUGUUGAUGCAACAACAAUCUGAGAGCAUGGAGAAAUAGGGGCGGGGAUAUGCAUGCGUAAUGAGAUGGGUAUGAUGCUGAGAUACCAAAUAAAAAUGAGAAGGGGAGAUCAGAGCGGUAAAGAGAGAGAGGCCUUUGCCUUGAUGAUGGUUUGAGAUGGUGUGUCGAACUCAACCUUGACAGAGUCAUAUGGAAUCAGAUUAACAUGUUAUUGUUCAAGCGAUUAAUACGAAUUCGAUGCAGGAUAGGUUGAAGUUUGGAGACAUUAUCGGGUGUAGUGUGUGAAUUCAUCAAAAAUCUUCCAAAAAUAAACAAUCUCACUCAAAAAAGAAAUUGAUUAAUACAAGAACUCCACAUAAAACAAAACCCAAACCGAUCUGGUUCUAAAACAACAUCAUAUAAGAAAGCAUAAAUCUAGAUCUAAACAACAUUAGAUCUAUAUAGAGAAACACAAAUCUGAAACUAAAACAACAUCAAAUCUAAAAAGAAAAGCACAAAUUUAAUUAAAAUUAGUUUUUACCUUGUAAAGAUCUAUACCAACAUCUUUUUUGUUGUUGUCUCCCUCAAUCUUCAUUGAAAACGUUAAAAAUGUCAAGAAAACUUUCAAAACAUUUGGAAAUUUUGAUUUUCAACCAAAAUUUUCGUUGAAUCGUUUAGAAAAUCAUAUAGAAACAGUAACAAAUCUUCAAUAAAAAGGACGAGUAAGAAUAAAAAAAAUUGAGAUAGAGGAGUUAUGUAUUUUCAAUAGGAAAAAAUUAACGGAAGAAGAGAUUUGAAUGUUAUUUUACCUUUUUCUUAUCUUCUAAUCUUGUCAUGACCAUCAAUUUGAUAAAGAAAAAAAAAUGCCAUGGAGGGAUUUGAAGAAGAAGAAAGCUAUGAAAAAGAGGAGAGACGGCGGAGAAGAGAGAAUGUAAGGAGAGAGAGAUUUUUGAAAAAUGAAAGUUUUGGAAAAUCAAAUAAAAAAAUAGGUAGG